AUUGAACGCUGGCGGAAUGCUUUACACAUGCAAGUCGAACGGCAGCACGGACUUCGGUCUGGUGGCGAGUGGCGAACGGGUGAGUAAUAUAUCGGAACGUGCCCAGUCGUGGGGGAUAACGUAGUGAAAAUUACGCUAAUACCGCAUACGAUCUACGGAUGAAAGCGGGGGAUCGCAAGACCUCGCGCGAUUGGAGCGGCCGAUAUCAGAUUAGGUAGUUGGUGAGGUAAAGGCUCACCAAGCCGACGAUCUGUAGCUGGUCUGAGAGGACGACCAGCCACACUGGGACUGAGACACGGCCCAGACUCCUACGGGAGGCAGCAGUGGGGAAUUUUGGACAAUGGACGCAAGUCUGAUCCAGCCAUUCCGCGUGCAGGACGAAGGCCUUCGGGUUGUAAACUGCUUUUGUACAGAACGAAAAGGUCUCUAUUAAUACUAGGGGCUCAUGACGGUACUGUAAGAAUAAGCACCGGCUAACUACGUG
rnacentral:rRNA from 1 species